rnacentral:rRNA from 2 species
GAUGAACGCUGGCGGCGUGCUUAAUACAUGCAAGUCGAACGGAGACUGUAGCAAUACUGUCUUAGUGGCGAACGGGUGAGUAACGCGUUGGUGACCUGCCCCGAAGAGGGGGAUAACAGUCCGAAAGGAUUGCUAAUACCCCAUGUGGUCGUUUGGAUUAGAUGCCUUACGACUAAACGGAUUUAUUCGCUUCGGGAGGGGCCUGCGUCCCAUCAGCUAGUUGGUAGGGUAAUAGCCUACCAAGGCGAUGACGGGUAGGGGACCUGAGAGGGUGGCCCCCCACAAUGGAACUGAAACACGGUCCAUACACCUACGGGUGGCAGCAGUAGGGAAUAUUGGUAAUCUGGGAAACCGGGAACCAGCAACGCCGCGUGCGCGAUGAAGGCCUUCGGGUUGUAAAGCGCUUUUUAAAGGGAUGAGGAAGGACAGUACCUUUAGAAUAAGCCUCGGCUAACUACGUG